CUCCCUUGCUUGCUCAUGCCCCCUCACCCCUUUUAAUUUAAAUUACUCGUUUUAACUUAAAAACUUCUGGAUGUUUUAUUACCUUGGCAGCUUUUUCUCUGGAUUGACUAAAAAGGUCCUGAAUUCCAGCAGAAUGGCUGAAGCCAACCAGUCUCAAGACCUCAACCAAGGAACCAACCAACUCUGCACAGGAAUGCGGUUUCUUCAUCUCCCUGUCCCAGGAAUUCCCCCUUGCUUCUUGACCAAUCAGCAAUCCCCACAUUUUAGCCCUACCUGUUCAGACCCUUUACAAGCUCCAUCCCCAAACCCUGGAGGGAGGAGGAUUUGAAGGUUCCUCUGUCUCAUUUGACUGCCCUACAAUUAUUAAACUCUUUCUCUACUGCAACU
rnacentral:lncRNA from 1 species